AUAGCACCCAUCAGGGGAAGGUAAGAACCUUCGACCAAGGUUCGCGCCGAGCAUAGCGAGACAACGACGCGCAGCGGCGGCCCGAAGGGCGAGGAACAACGUGACGAGUAAUCCUUCCCCCACCACCA
rnacentral:sRNA from 1 species